rnacentral:rRNA from 1 species
UUGGAGGGCAGUCUGGUGCCAGCAGCCGCGGUAAUUCCAGCUCCAAUAGCGUAUAUUAAAGUUGUUGCAGUUAAAAAGCUCGUAGUUGAAUUUCGGGAUCAAUAUUUCGGUCAUGCCGUUGGUAUGCACUGUUAUCAUUGAUUUCUCACCUUCUAAAGAACCGUAAUGCCAUUAAUUUGGUGUUACGGGGAAUUAGGACUGCUACCUUGAAAAAAUUAGAGUGUUUAAAGCAGGC